UCGGAGCUAAAUCUCGUGGCUUUCAGGUCAGAGAAUUCCCCACCACGUUGACCUCCACUGCCCACUUCUGAUCUCGAGCUCUGGUCAGCUGCUCUUCAAAAUGCCGGCGUUUGAUGGGACGGCGUGCUUUUGCAGGAGGCCUUCUAUCUGUGGGAAGACGACGACUCCAGGUGACGACUAUGUUUCGUCUUCAUGUCCUCUUUUUUCUCUGCUAUUUGUGAAUUUCUUACCGCAAUUAGCGACCACCUCGCUCGCCGCCGGCAGGUACUCCGUCGACAACAUCCCGCUGUACGAUUCCGGGGAGGACGACCCGUCGCUGAAACUCCCCAAGCCGCCGGCGGGCGGCGGCGCCGCCGAGUACGGCGUCGGUGGUUCACUC
rnacentral:lncRNA from 1 species